UACGUAGGUGGCAAGCGUUGUCCGGAUUUACUGGGCGUAAAGCGCACGUAGGCGGACUAUUAAGUCAGGGGUGAAAUCCCGGGGCUCAACCCCGGAACUGCCUUUGAUACUGGUAGUCUUGAGUUCGAGAGAGGUGAGUGGAAUUCCGAGUGUAGAGGUGAAAUUCGUAGAUAUUCGGAGGAACACCAGUGGCGAAGGCGGCUCACUGGCUCGAUACUGACGCUGAGGUGCGAAAGCGUGGAUCAAACAGG
rnacentral:rRNA from 1 species